rnacentral:misc_RNA from 1 species
CCUUCGGGAGGGCGUUUACCACGGUAUGAUUCAUGACUGGGGUGAAGUCGUAACAAGGUAACCGUAGGGGAACCUGCGGUUGGAUCACCUCCUUACACUAAAAUGAAGCGACUGCAAGUGUUCACACAGAUUGUUUGGUAGAUUGUAUGAAUGAAACAUAUGGCAAAGUGGAGAGCAUCUUUACAUGUUGUCCCCAUCGAAUCUAGAGGCCUAGGACAUCGCCCUUUCACGGCGGUAACCGGGGUUCGAAUCCCCGUGGGGACGCCAUUUAAAGAUGACUUUUGUUGUCUUUACUGUUCUUUAAAAAAUUGGAAACAAGCUGAAAAACUGAAAGAGAUUUUCGAAAGAAAGUCUGAGUAGAAAAAUCUUGCAUGAAAAAAGGCAUGCAAGUGUUUAGCGUUUAAACACAACAUCAAGGUGAUGAAACUUGAUUAAUGCAUUAGCAAAGGUUAAUGGAUUAAUUGAGAUUAAGUAAGAAUACUUGAGGUUGUAUGGUUAAGUGACUAAGCGUACAGGGCGGAUGCCUUGGCAAUCAGAGGCGAUGAAGGACGUGCUAAUCUGCGAAAAGCUUGGAUGAGUCGAUAAGAGGCGUUUAAUCCAAGAUAUCCGAAUGGGGAAACCCAGUAGAUGAAGCAAUCUACUAUCGCAAUAAAUG